CCUAUGUGCCUUAUCUUUCGCGGAACGAAGCUUAUUUCCGGAAAUUUGUUGUUACAAAUUUAUGUACACAAUACCAAAUAUGGAGGCAGUAACUAAGGGCACGCUAAGUAACAGCUGUACCUAAACAUCAUUUCGUAUGUCAACAGAAGCUAGCUUGAAAUGAUUCACCAGUUCACCAAUUCAACUCGGCUAGCUUUACUUCUUAAUUGAGAAUUUGGAGUGAUACAAAUUGAAACUGUCUUCGAUAAUGUCGGAGAAGUAUCAAAGAAUUCAAAUGCUCUUGUCAUAAUUACUGCAAGAUACACUAAACUUCGAAUUACUUCUUCUACAAUCGUCAAGUCUGAACUGCUGGGAAAGUAUCGUGUUCGAUUCUAGCGAAGGCUUAAGUUUCGUAAACUCACUGCUUGCAAUGGAUAUUGCAAAGACGCUGCCCAUUGACCCGCUGUGUGUCACAACAGUCGGUUCGUAGUCGACGAUAUCACGACUUCAAAACCCGUUCGUUCUCCAAAUCUGGUGGCACCGUCUCCGAGAUGUCUUCAGAGUUAUCUCCUCGGUUGGCCGUUAUUCAGGCUUCAGGUUUAACAUGUGUACAUUGUUUUAAGGAUUGGGGAACAUGUUUCAGGAUGAUGCAAGUUUCUUUGGGAUUUCCUUUGCUUCUAGUGGCUACCUGCGCUGCAGAUCUAAGAAUGCAACAAAACAAUCUUGAUCAAUGGGGCCGGCAAUUCCGAGCGGGUAAGAUGGGCCCAUCUUGCCCGCUUAGGCAGCCAAUCAGAACACAGGAUUCGCUUCAUCUUGCCCACGGGCGCUGCGAGCGAUGUAAUAAGUAUCAGUAAAAAAAAAACUAAGCACAUUAAGCUUCAAUCGCUAACUAAGAAAUAUAGGAAAUAUUAAAGCUAAGGAGCCGAUAACAAACACAAACGCAACUACCCGAUGAGAUAGGAGAAAACAAAACUGACCAAAUCGCACGUUGACGCUCGAUGGCAUAGUUUUAGUUUUGCAUCUGUUUAACUCCGAGAAUUGCUCAACUUUGUUAGGCUAAUUAUAGAGCAAAGUGAAGCAAUACUAACCAAUCCCGAGUAGUCCCGGGUUCACUGAAUUUUGCUCAGCCCUAUGCAAAGAUCUGUAUUUUCAAUCAAUUUACUGAAGAUGUCGCGCUAUAAUUUACCUGGCUAUUUCCUGUCUCCAAUAUUUUAACUCCAUUCCUCCAAAGGUAUGCUCAAUGGGCUGAUCCCUCUGACCUACUGAGCUCACUGCAUUAGCACUGACAUUAUUUGGCAGCUGGGUAUAUGGAGACAUGACUUGUACCUCUGAUUGUCUCGUUUCCUGCACGGGAUAGCUAAAAGCAAAAGACUGUUACUCACCACAGUAUAAUGUUUUAAUUUUUGGUAGUAAAACCGUUAGAGCGUAAAAUGCAGUUGAUUUAUCAUUAAGUCGCUGGAUAUUUCCGAAAAUCAUGACUCAAAUGUAUUUAUAAAUUCUUUCGCCUUGUCCUCGUCCAACAUUCAUAGUGAGUUACGCCAUACAUACUCUAGAACACUGCAAACAAUCUUUGUGUUUUGUUUUUGUUACGUCUGUUUGUUUGCUGGUUUUUAUUUUUUGUUCUCCAAUGAUUUACCUCUUUAAAGACAAAGAGCUAAGUGAAUUAUCACGUCAGUUCUUAAUUCUAUCGAGGAUUUAUUGCAUUGAUACCAGAAAUCGUAUUAAAGCAACAAAUCAGCAUAAAAUCGUUUCACCAUAAUGAUACAUGCUGUUGAAAAAUACAGUAAAACUUGCCGCAUGGAAUUAUGUAUGUAUGUAAAAUCAUACGAACAAGCCUGGGUACGUUUAAUCGCUUAUUUCGAUAUAAAUAAGUAAAUUGUAUCUAGCAAGAUAGUUCUUAUCAAAAGUUGUUUUGAAAUGUGUGCAACCUAACUACGCUCUCAGAUAUUAACAUUCAUUUAGCUCAUGCAGAUCGAAAUAGAUUGACAGCUGUGCAAAAGAUCGGUUUUAAUUGGCUCACGGCAUCUCAAGAGGUGUGUUCGGAGGUGGGUCGAGGAUCAAGAUAUAAGACGCGAAUAUAUCUAAAUGCGUUGGUCAAGCAAACUUUCUUGUGGAAUGGAUUAUAGCGCGAAUAUGGUCGUAUUUUUCGAGACCUCAACUAAUAACUGAAUUAAUGAAAAGUUAAAUUUAUUUGAUAAUAGACCAGUUGUCACAAUUAUCAGCGAUCCGAAAGGGCUCACCCAUUUUGAGUUUUUUCUCCGGCAAAAGUUUUUACAACAGUUCAACCUGUGCUACAAAAUUGCUUAGUGGAAAAACAAACUAAAUGAAGAAUAUGAGAACAGAGUCUCAGAAGCUUUCGUUUGUGCGGAAAUAGCCAGGUUAAGCCAAAGAUAGAUAUAACAAUAAAAGCGACCAAAAGUUCCAUAUAUUCAGGCGAAUUGUUUGGAUAUCAUAAUCUGACAAAUGUUAGCAGGACAGAUUUCGAUACACCACAAUCAACAUACCUUAAAAUUUCUUUAUAAUUUUUUUUAUCUAUUUUUUUUAGUGGUUCAACUACGAUAAAGAAAAACUAAUAUUCGAAUUAAGAUAUGCAGCAUUGAAGACUAGUUGACUUUUAUAGUCCUAGGUUACUCUCUUUCUCGUGACGGACAUGAUUUUUAAUCCUUAUUUUUUAUUUUAUGUGGCUUUACAUAUAAUUCUUCCCAAUAAUCUUGAAACCCUUAGAAUUAAGUGCUCGGCACUAAUCAAGUUAGCUUGAAGUUUCUUUGUUGCCACUUAAAGGUCUUUAAAUGGUCAAGUUACGUCAAUUUGUUGCGUCCAGAGCCAAUACGAGAAGGAAAAUAAUUGAUAUAGAAAUAUCAUGCUUGAGUUGCCUUUUAAGUCUUUUCUACCCUACCGCCUCUGUAAAAGCCCAGAGCUUUCGCCUUAAUUCACCGUAGACAAAAUUAUUUGAUGAAGUGAUGUUGUAACAAUAAGAGCGCAGUGCGAUUGUACUGUCAAUAAAUGUGAAAAACUCGCAAGCAAAACCGCAGCCGUGGAUGCACUUCAAGUAGCUAACAGUCAGAAACAUAGCUCCGUCAGCCCGGUGAAAGCCGCCAUCUUUGCGGACGAGAUAUCAAGAACAAUAGUACGUUACAAAUGCAAAAUGGGAUUUAUGAUCAAUUCAAAGGUAAAGGUCAAUUUUCCACAAUGCAUCUGAACCUAGACUAAUUUGAAGUCACGCGCACAAUAUGAAUGACGAGAAGAAACAAACCUUCGACAAAGGCGAAAGUUUUUAACGGCGUAAUCCAAAUUAGGACAAAAAUUUGGUAAUGAAAACAAACUAAGAAUAAUCGAGCUCUCUUUCAAUUGCAACUUACCUCAUCAUGAAGCCCUCUUUCACAGAUUCUGCAGACAAAAUUUUAUUCAAGUGUCCAUUCGAAUGACUUCUGCGGCGUAACUUGUCCACACCUGCGGGAGUGUGGUGUUAACUAAUGCGAUGUUUACAUGGCGAGUCUUCUAUCUACACGUCCGCUAUCGCAAAUUCCGUAAAACCGGAAAUCUUUUGCUUUCUGACACCGUGGGCGUUACUGGCCCACGCACGUUUUGUUUACAAUUGUUUUCUGUCCUUGACUCUUAUCAAUUUUCAGCCUGUGGUACGAUCACUUUUCAGUUGACCGAAUAUCCUUCUGAAAAAAUCUUAAAUAAUUUUAUUUCUGGAACUUUUUGUCUGUGAGCAUUUCAAGUAAGUACUGAAAAUUAUCGUAAGUUAAACUGUCAAAGUGAAACAUAAUAGUCCUAAGAUGUGGAUAAUAUUUUUUUUGCAGAUCGUUGACCAAGGCAAAAUAGAAAAUAAAGUGAAAAUUCACUUUAUUGGAAAUUCAAGUGAUUUUGAUAAAUGGAGAGAUGGAGAUGACUUAGUUGAAAGAGAAAAAAGUAGUCUUGGUCGCUUGGUACCACGAUUCAUGCCAAGUGAAGAUUCCUUGUCUGACAGGGCUUCACCUUUAUUCCACCGCCUCAGCCGGGAAAUGAAGUUUAGUCUAUUUUCAACCAAAAGGGAGACACCGGAGGGUUCGGAUUGAGAUGCAUAUUGACAUGGAUAUCUAUAAAACAUAUUUAAAAAUAUGGUAUUUGUAACAAAAAAGUCAAGAGGAAGAGAAGUACAUUGUGUUGACGAUAACUCUCAUUUGUGCGAUCUGCUUGGUAGUACGUGGUUUGAGAGAAUUCAAAAUGCAAAUGGCGACUUUUGUUAUGUCAUUCCUGUAACUGUAAGAUUUUGGCUGCAUGAAAAAAAGCCUGUGAAAGAGUUUGUUUAUGUCGGCGAUACUCUUGUAGAAAGCCACACUGAAAAUGACUUGCAAAUGAGUCAUUUUUACAUUGAUGACAUGUAGUCGUUUGCCAAUACUGGUACCAUCCCCAGAUGGUUUAACUCGAAUCUUAUGAUUUUCUUUGAAAGCAGCAUUAGAAGGAAUAUUUUUCAUAGGAGUCUGCAACCUUACUUCUAGUCAUUCCUUAAUGCUCUGCUGAAUCCCAUAAGUAUUAUUGGGAGUACUUGACAGAUUCCGUGUACUAUUUAAAGCCUUUAUCCUCUCCUUGACUUUCCAUGACCGAGGUAGUUCCUUGCAAAUCAUAGAAAGUUCAUGGUAGGCUUCGUUUGAUAUAUUAAAUCUUUCCUUUGUGUACAGCAGUAAAUUUAUGUCAUCAAUCUCCUCAUCAGUGAGUGUCUCGACUCGAGAUGACUUUUGAAUGUUAUUGCGUUAUCAACCAAUGUGAGAGUCUCAUACUCUUGAAUGUUCUCAUGGAAAAUUUCAACUUUAGUGGCAACAAAAUCAUGAAGUCCAAUAAAUGAAAGUGAAGUUUCA
rnacentral:lncRNA from 1 species